rnacentral:misc_RNA from 1 species
UUGAUUUCGUUUAAAAAUCGAUCAGACUUCAGAGAUGCCUGUGGGUUUGCAAUGCCGACCCGCAGCCGGCAGGCGGUACCCCGCCAAACGAAUGGCGGGGGCGCCCGAGAGCCAGGGGCCGAAAUGAUGUGGGUGCGCAUGACAAAGGGCGGGUGGAUGGACACGAGGUCCGGAACCCAGUAAUGAUCCUUCCGCAGGUUCACCUACGGAAA